UCGAAUUAUGACUGCGCUGAACGAACAAAGACCGCAAAAACCGAAAUCAAUAAAGUGUUCCAACACACUCUAGACAUGUCUGGACGCAUAACCAUCACUGACCACAGUAUGCACAGCGGUGCACACCAGGAAAGACGAUCGAAGAAGAAACAUAUAUAGCCAUUACCUUUAGCUUGAGGGAACUAAAUGGCGCCAAACGCAAGAACUGCGAAUAUCAAGAUGUUAAAUGAACUGAGAAUUCGAAGUUUCAUGGCCUCUAAAAUGCUAUACGAACAGUCAACCAGAUACAGUAACUAUGCUUUUUGGGCAGUGGUGGUAGCUAGUGGUCUUAUGGGUGUAGCUGCUGCUAACCUAUGUGAUUAUCUCCCCGUGGGUGAUGGUCAGAACAGAUGGGUUUCAGCAUCUAAGAUGCUCAUCGGAGUGGUCUCUGGAUUCGCAGUCUCAUUUCAAACGGGCAGAAUCUUUCUCAUUGAUUACUUUGAAAAGAAACAGCGAAUCUAUAACGAAACAGCAUCAGGUUGGCAAAAGCUGGAAUUGGACAUUGAAUUAUUUCUUAACUCUAUCGAGAUCACAACCACAGACAGAGAUAUCAGAGAGUUUACAAGUGAAUGUAUAAAACAACGGGAUUAUAUAUGCUCCAAGUCAAAACCAGAGGAAGACAUUUAUCAGAAAUACCAUAAUAACCCCGAUUUAGUGAUCAAGAAGUAUCAGAAAAAAAACUCUGUCAUUGCGUACAUUCUACAAAAACUUGAUCGGGAGGAAGAAGCAGAAGGAGAAGAACAUCAAGAGGAUCAUGAUGAUGAAUCAGACCUGGUUUGUUGGGCUUGUCUUCCCUUUGGUGUAUAUUUUUGUAUUCUGUACAGUCCGAUCAAAUUCUUUAUGAAGUAUGUCAACGAAAGUCGAUGCAAUUACCACCGUGAACAUUUUAUUUAAGAAAUCGAGUGUAAAAGGUAUGCUGUGGGUCUCUAUAGAAAUGAGUGAGCUGGCUUUUGAGAGACAAGACAAGACAAGGGCCCAAAGGUGGAGGUACAUUGGUAUUCUCAAGUUACGCAACUCAGCUAAUUGCGGUGCCUGAGACGACUAAACCCCACACCUCCGUUUCUCUAUUUACUGCUAUGGUACAUAGAUUGCAUGUAAUUGUGCAUGUUAUAUAUAUUCUAACAUCUCU